CCACCCCCGGAUAACUUGAUCACCGAUGGGGUCGACGUUUUGAAGGCCUUUCGAUGACGUUCAAUGAAAACUGGAAGGAAUGCAGAUCGGUGGGCUAUCUCUUUUUAACAACCUUACGGAACACGUGUUUGUAUCGUUCGACGAAAGAAACGUUCCUGAAAAUGUACUUUAUAAAUGCAUAUCUAUAUAACAUAUGUAUAUCCAUAUAACAAGAAUACAGUUUUACAAAGUACAAACUCCUUUAGGGACCCUUAGGUUGCUACAGAAACACAUACAGGUCUCACACAAAGAAGUUUAAUAAUUCAACAAGAAAGUCGCGACGUUGGAACACACAUUUGAGCUUAUCGAUCGAGAAAAGAUGCUUUUUCCUCGAAGAAAAUGCACGUAACGGUAAAUAAACAUGAGAUAUUCGAUAAGAGUGUUUCGAACGAAAGAAGUAAAAAAUAAAAAA